AGGAAAGGCUUGUCAAGUUGCCUCACAGGAUCAGGAAUGUAUUCAUCCACAGCAUCCAUUAAUUUUAAGAUGGCAUUUUUCCCUAUUUCUUCAUUUGUUCCCUGUAAAGCAGACAAUGCUGAUCCCCGAAUGAUAGGAAUUUCAUCUCCAGGAAACUUGUAGAAACUAAGCAGUUCACGGAGCUCCAUUUCCACAAGCUCUAAUAACUCUGGAUCAUCAACGGCAUCAACUUUAUUCAGGAAACAUACAAGUGACGGCACACCAACCUGACGAGCAAGCAGAAUGUGCUCCUUUGUCUGUGGCAUGGGCCCAUCAGGGGCAGAUACAACUAGAAUUCCACCAUCCAUCUGGGCAGCUCCAGUAAUCAUGUUUUUUACAUAAUCUGCAUGUCCAGGGCAGUCAACAUGGGCAUAGUGACG
rnacentral:misc_RNA from 1 species